AUUCCAUGAUGAGGGCACUUCUGUAAUAAUUUUCUAUACCUUUUCCAUGCCUCAUUCAAGGACUCAUCAUCCAUUUGUUGGAAGGCAGUGAUCUCGUUUCUCAACUU
rfam:Gossypium hirsutum cultivar TM-1 chromosome 9, whole genome shotgun sequence